GGUAGAAUGGCUGAAUCAGGCGAAGGGUUGUAGCCCCUUUAAUAAAGGUUAAAGUCCUUUUUUUAUCA
rnacentral:tRNA from 1 species